rnacentral:sRNA from 1 species
GCUCGGUAGGUGAGGCUACUAGAGGGAUACGGACUGCUGCCGCGAAGUGGUGGAGACACCAUGAGAAGGUUUGAACAGGCUAUAUCGAAUCAAGGUAUAGCAUAAUGCAGUUUCAUCGCCCUCCAGAGUCAAAGCUCAAACGGGG